rnacentral:lncRNA from 1 species
AGGAGCCAAGGAGGUCCUGCUGCUGGCCCGGUAGACGGACCAAUGGAGGGUCUCGCUGGACACACCGGACUUCACCGACAUCGUGCUGCAGCUGGACGACAUCCAGCAUGCCAUCGCCAUCAACUAUGACCCAAUGGAGGGCCACGUCUACUGGACGGAUGACGAGGUGUGGGCCAUCCGCAGGGCAUACCUGGAUGGGUCUGGGGCGCAGACGCUGAUCAACACCAAGAUCAACGACCCCGAUGACAUCGCAGUCAACUGGGUGGCCCGAAGCCUCUAUUGGACCCACACAGGCACUGAACACAUCGAGCCUCACGUACUGGAUAGACUGGGGAGAGAACCCUGAAAUCAAGCGUGCCAACCUGGACAGGCAGGAGCUGCGCGUGCUGGUCAAUGCUUCCCUCGGGUGGCCCAACGGCCUGGCCCUGGACCUGCAGGAAGGGAAGCUCUACUGGGGAGAUGCCAAGACAGACAAGAUCGAGGCGAUCAGUGUCGAUGAGACGAAGAGGCAGACCCUCCUGAAGGACAAGCUCCCACACAUUUUCAGGUUCACCCUGCUGGGGGACUUCAUCUACUGGACCGCCUGGCAGCACCACAGCAUCAAGCGGGUACACAAGGUCAAGGCCAACCGGGACGUCAUCAUUGACCAGCUGCCCGACCUGAUGGGGCUCAAAGCUGUGAACGUGGACAAGGUCGUCGGAACCAACCCUCAUGCGGACAGGAAUGGGGGUGCAGCCACCUGUGCUUCUUCACGCCCCACACAACCCGGUUUGGCUGCCCCAUCUAGGGCCUGGAACUGCUGAGUGACAUGAAG